rnacentral:rRNA from 1 species
UACGAAGGGAGCUAGCGUUGUUCGGAAUCACUGGGCGUAAAGCGCACGUAGGCGGAUUUGUCAGUCAGGGGUGAAAUCCCGGGGCUCAACCUCGGAACUGCCUUUGAUACAGCAAGUCUUGAGUUCGAGAGAGGUGGGUGGAAUUCCUAGUGUAGAGGUGAAAUUCGUAGAUAUCGGGAGGAACACCAGUGGCGAAGGCGGCGAUCUGGGUCGAUACUGACGCUGAGGUGCGAAAGCGUGGGGAGCAAACAGG